CUGAUGAGGGAGUAGGAGGAUUCAGAGUUAAGACCUCUUCUAAACGGAAACCUAAGCCCUGAUCAUAUUUUACUAAGGUUCUUAAAGGCUUGUGUAAGGCAUAGAUGGUUUAAUUGGUUCAUCUAUCUCUAACACCCCUGACUUUUAUUACAAUCAAUAUAUCACUGUCAUGCAUUUGUUGAUCGUCUUGUACUCUUGUUCACAGAUAUAUCUUAUGAAUAUUUAUGCACUGUAUAUAAACGUUAGUGCCGGGGGUAUGGCUAGGUCGAGCCAUUGAGCCUAUUACGAAGAAAUUAAUGAUCCAGGCUAUUGGUUUUUGCUUUGCAUUCUGUCUAUAUAAGUUGUUUAUGCUAGUUUUGUAGUGGGGUUUAUAGAUUUUUGAUAUGGGGUUUUAAUUUUCCUUGAUUUUCUAGCUGUUUUUAGCCCCCCUUUGACCAUCAUAUAGUUUUAGUUUAUGUUUGUUUUUCUUGCAAUAAACUCUCUUUGUUGUUGCUGAAAGUCUAUUUGUAUUGUUUGAAGGCUGAGAAAAACAGUAUUUACUUAUGUCGAAUUACUACUCUCGAGCAGGAUUCAGCCUAUUACCUAGUGUUAUUGGAAAAGUAUAUCAGCAGUAGAAAGGCCAUGCCAUCUUGUUAAUCUUGGAAACCCAUAACAAAUCAAUAUCACCAUUGACUAUCUGUUUGAAAGGUGUAGCCAUGAAUUGUCUGUAUAUUUCUACUUUUUGAGCUUAAUGCAGUUGUGCAUUGUGUAUUUAUUCUUUUUCACAGCGAACCUUGGUGUAACAUUCACUGUAUAUAUAUAUCCUGGAUGAAUUUUCAAUCCUCGUGUAGAUAUCGUGGUUCCCCAGUGUCUUGUCCUAGCAUUUAGAUGUCCCAGCAAAAACAGUGCAGCAUCUGCAGCCACCACUACAGCCAUCAAAUAUUGUUCUUAUGGAUAAACCUUCAGGGAAAUUAGCUUCUGUUUCUUGCUGCUCUUGAAGUUAUCUGGUUCUUUCCUUCCAUUAUUAAAUUGCAACUGUAUGAUCUUUCUUCCAGUAUGCUCAAACCUUACUCUGGAGCCUGUACAAAACUAUUUAUGUUUCUUUCAUGUUGUAUAUCCUCUUAAC